rnacentral:lncRNA from 1 species
UAAAGUUGCAUGUGUGACUGGUUGGGGCAUCCCGUGUGCAGGACGGGAGUGGGAGUCGUAAUGGCGCUAACCAGGAUGGGUUCGGUUGGGGGUUGUGGGGAUUAGCCGCUGGGUUCUUUCUCCAUAGUGUCUCUCCGGACGCAUAGUACUGAGGCUUGAGCAGCUUAAGUAUUUCCAUGGUGUCUGUAGUGAAUCUUGCUGUUUAUCGUUUAUCACCCUGUUGUCUUUUGCGAAUGUAUUGGAUGAGAGAAAAUGACAUUAUCUUAACUAGAGACGAUAAAUCUAAAAAAGUAGUCCUCCUUAAGAAACAGCUGUACGAAGAACGUCUUAAUAUCUAUAUCGCUGAAUCAAAAGCUGAACUAUUAAGCAAAGAUCCAACUGAGGCGCG